rnacentral:rRNA from 1 species
GGUUUCCUGCGCAACGUUAAUCGACGCAGGGUUAGUCGGUCCCUAAGGCGAGGCUGAAAAGCGUAGUCGAUGGAAAACAGGUUAAUAUUCCUGUACUUCUGGUUAUUGCGAUGGAGGGACGGAGAAGGCUAGGCCAGCUUGGCGUUGGUUGUCCAAGUUUAAGGUGGUAGGCUGAGAUCUUAGGUAAAUCCGGGAUCUUAAGGCCGAGAGCUGAUGACGAGUUGCCUUUAGGCGACGAAGUGGUUGAUGCCAUGCUUCCAAGAAAAGCUUCUAAGCUUCAGAUAACCAGGAACCGUACCCCAAACCGACACAGGUGGUUGGGUAGAGAAUACCAAGGCGCUUGAGAGAACUCGGGUGAAGGAACUAGGCAAAAUGGCACCGUAACUUCGGGAGAAGG